CGCUAAUGUGCGCCUCUGUGUUUUCCUAAAUGCUGGUUUCUUCAUCAAGCGGCGGAAUAACGCAUCAGGGCAGGUGACCCACGUCACCGGGGUGAUGCACUGGUGCUCGCCGGGGCGGGCGCUGUGCCUGCGGGAGCCGCGCGGCCGGCGCGGUGUCGGGGCGCCUCGUGGGGGCCGAGCCGCGCCCGCACGUCCCUCAGGUAGGCGCGACCAGAGUUUCUUUAGACAGGAUGACCUGGCAGCGUUUCCACCCCACCCACGGCGAGUUUCGCUUUCCUAAUGUGGUUAAAAAGUGCGUUCUAUCUGAAAUAGGGUGGUUGAACAGGUUUCAACAUUUUACUUAAUUUUUUGUUUGUUUUAGAUUUCUUCCUUCUGGUGGGUCUCUUUCUUUUUCUGUCAAGAAGAUGUUCAUAACUGUCCUCUUUGGCAUUUGUUCAAAGUCCAGUUCUAAUAGCUUUUGGACUGUGGUUUAAUUUUAACCAUAAAGCAUUCUUUUGGAAUAAUUGCUUUUGAAUCUGGGAAGAGCCAGCUGGAUACAAGGCCAUAAACACCCCCCUGCGGGGAAUGUACAGGCUUUAAGUUACGUUUUUUUACCACUAGCAUUUCUCUUUAUCUUUUUUCUUUUUUUGGAGACAGGGUCUGGCUCUGUUGCCCAGGCUGGAGUUCAGUGGUACAAUCAGAGCUCACUGCAGCCUCAUCCUCCUGGGCUCCAGCGAUCCUCCCAUCUCAGCCUCCCGAGUAGCUAGCUGGGACCACAGGCACGCAUCACUGGCUAAUUUUUUUUUUUUUUUUUAGAGACAGGGUGUUGCUAUGUUGCCCAGGCUGAUCUCAAACUCCUGGUCUCAAGUGAUCCUCCUGCCUCAGCCUCCCAAAGUGCUGGAAUUACAGGCCUGAGCCACCAUGCCUGGCCUAGCAUAUCUCUUUUUUUAAAAAAAGGAGACUGAUGGGGGUUGGGGGGAUGCAAAUUGUGAGUAGAUAGGUGGGAUUGGAGGAGAGUUUGAACAUCUGCUUUAAUCAACUAAAUGGUGUCUUAGAGCUGUCCUGCGGGCAACCAUGUGGCCUCAGAUUUCUGGGACAAUCUCAAUUUCUGGGACAGAGGACUGGCCCACUGGCCCUUUGUUAGGCUACGCAUCAGACCACCACCAAUUUCCAGUUCUGAAAUUGUGGUCACCAGAGAGACCUAUCAGCAGCCAUAGACAUUAUCUCCUUCGGAAUGACUGGACCCAGGCAGCCAGGCAGAGCUGGGGUCCCCAGAGCUCCUGGCACUAGCCGGAAUAUUUCCAGUUCCUCUUCUUCCCUUACAGCACAAGUCCUUUGGUAAUCAUUGCUCAUAUUUGUAGAACCUUAGAGAAUUUUGGAUGUAGCAGGACAGAAAUUGGUUGCCUGCCAUUUUGUGGCUUGGGUGGCAUACAUCUUGUUUGGCAAUUAAAAAAAAAAGAUGAGAAGAAAAUGGGAUAUGCAAUGGAGACCAAUUCAAGAAAAAGUGAUUUAUGCCAGUCCUAGCUGAGGCAGAUGAAUUUGGGAAGACUUACUUGUUUUCUAGAAAUAGUCUUCACUUGACCAGAGAUUCAUACUUGGGCGUAUUUAAAUACAGAGCUCUUCUGGAGCAUUUGACUAGAAGGACAGAAAACCAGAGACUAAUUAACCAGUUGUUACCAGCGGGAAAUCCGUUUUUGUUUGUUUGUUUGUUUGUUUGUUUUCUUUUUGAGGCGGAGUCUCGCUCUGUCGCCAGGCUGCAGUGGAGUGGCGUGAUUUUGGCUCACUGUGCAAUCUCUGCCUCCUGGGUUCAAACCAUUCUCCUGCCUCAGCCUUCCAAGUAGCUGGGAUUACAGGUGCACUCCACCACACCCAGCUAAUUUUUGUAUUUUUAGUAGAGACGGGGUUUCACCAUGUUGGCCAGGAUGGUCUCAAUCUCCUGAUCUGGUGAUCUGCCUGCCUUGGCCUCCCAAAGUGCUGGGAUUAUAGGCGUGAGCCACUGCGCCAGGCCAAGAGAUCAGUCUUACAUGAAAAUCAAGGGUUCAGUUACCCAGUGGGUCAGUAAGAGAUGAGGCUUUCAUUUAGAAAAACCGGAGCCUGAGGCCGGGCGCGGUGGCUCACGCCUGUAAUUCCAACACUUUUGGAGGCCAAGGCAGGUGGAUCACGAGGUCAGGAGUUCAAGACCAGCCUCGCCAAGAUGGUGAAACCCUGUCUCUACUAAAAAUACAAACAUUAGCUGGGCGCAGUGGCAGGCAGCUGUAAUCCCAGCUACUUGGGAGGCUGAGGCAGGAGAAUCGCUUGAACCUGGGGGGCAGAGAUUGUGCCACUGCACUCCAGCCUGGAUGACAGAGUGAGACUCCAUCUCAAAAAAAAAAUUAAAUUAAAAAUAAAAGUAGAAAAAUUGGAGCCUGUGCAGCUCUCCUGAGGGCAGAUGCAUAAAGCUGGGUGCGCCCCUCCAGCCUGCUGGGUCCCACAGAAGCUCAAGAGGCAGGGGCCAUGUCUUUCACCACUUGUCACUGCUAUAAUUCCCUGUUUAGAACUCUCAGUGAGUGUCAGAUCAACACAUUCAUCCACCAUAUCCCGUGUGUAUAAGAACAAUCCAUCACUCCUGACCUAAUCCAGCACAGAACAGAACUUCUGGAAGAGGACUAAAGAAGAGAAAGAGUGGAAGUGUCACAUGCCCAGAGGAAAAUAGAUGCGACAGAGAUGAAUAAAACAAAACAAAACAAAAGGAAGAAAGCCAAGCUAAUCUGGGAGUUCCAUCACGGCUAAGAACGCAUCUUUGUUUUGUCACGCGGUUUCUAGCCCGGCUCAGACCUGGGCUGCGGCACCUCAGGCAUCUCCUUUCAUCUCUCGGCUUUUCUCCUGGCUCCCGGGCGCUUCUCGAGACUUUUUGGACCUGGACUGGUCCAUGGCAGAACACCUCUUUCCUGAGUCCUCCCUAUGCACCUGCCCAAAGCGGGGGAUUGGGGUGGCACUCUCCAAGAUGCCAGGCUCCUCAAAUGGAGCCAUCACCCCCUAGGCUGUACUUGGCAUUGUCUCCAAGGAGCCUGGGGAGGUAACCGGUUGGGGACUGAUUCACUUGGGAGGGAGGGAGCGAGUGCAGAUUGCAGAUGCUAUCUAGUCGGGCCAAGUCAACCUGGGGAAGGGCAGGUCUGUGUCUCAACUGGUUUAGGGGUGGGAGAGUGGGAUUGGAACUUUUACACCUUGCAUUCUUAGGACGUCACAAUGGUUUUCCCAAGGCCUCCUUAUCUGAGGGUGUUUACCUAUUCAACCAGCAUACGCAGGUUCAGGACUCCCACUUUGUCCGGGUUCUGUCCUCACAGGCACAGGAAGAUUAAUGCGAACAACAGGGUCUGACAAACCAAAACUCACAGAUAAGAGACUUGGGUUAUUAGGGCAGAUGCCAGAAGUCAUGGGAUCUUCACGGGGUGGCUGUAGGCUGAGCAAUCUCCCUCGGGAUGUGAGGGGGUGUAUUUCUGCGUUAUUGGUCAUUGAGAAAUUCCCUAAUCUUAGAGAGAAAAGGAAUGAAACCAAGGGCUUGAAUCGGAGUAUACGUAGUUGACCUAAUUAUAAGGUUGUCCAUCCAUCUGUUUAAUAAAUAGUUCCAUGAUGUGGGACGGCAAGGUCACUCAUAGCCCUGAACAUUAACAACGUUUUCCUAAGGUUCUGGAAAAAAAGUGGUAACCAUGUGUUCAGCUGCAGGCUUGUUCUGUCUCAGGCCUCAGGCUGACAUGAAUCAGAAAUAGAGGGAAAUGUGGAAGUGGCAUUGCAAAUAUUAGUUCUAAAAACGGACUGGGAAGAGAGAGUGCCUCUAGACCCAGUCAUGGCCUAGCCAAGCCCCAGAAGAAUGACAUCACCCAUUGUGCCUCGUGGGGAGCCCCUGAGGCUGUCAUGGAUUUGUAGUCCUAUGUGGGACAGCGCUGCUGACGCGGUUAUUUCCUGCACUAGACCUACCCUGUCAGCAAGACACUGUUUACAUGAGCUGAGUGCCAAGUUGCGGCACAUUAUGCACAAUCGCUUUUAAGUUCAAUUAAAUUAACGUUUAGAAACAUUGUAGAUAGAAAAAGCUAAAGAGCAUUUUAGCAAACAGUGAUUACCUAGAGAUGCAAGUGCUUUGAAUUUGAGCAUUAGAGAACUUGUGAAUUUGUAGGAGUUAAGCAGGACAAGUACCCAUCUAAUGAAUGUUCAUAAGGGAAGCGCGCGUGUAGGAGGCAUUUCAGGUAGCCCAGCGCAGACCAAGGAGGGAAGGAAACAGAUAAGAUGUCAGAAAACAUCUUCAAAUACCCAGAGUUGUUAUCCCCUCCACGAAACAUUGGAGGGCGAAUUGUUUGGGUCAGUAAAAUAGAAUCAUAAAGUGUGAAGAAGAAACCUGUGGAACAUUCUGGAAGAAUUGGUCAGAGAUGAGCCACCGCACCCAGCCCCCAUUCACUUUUGUUUUAGGAAAUGAGAAAGCUUCUGCCUUUUUUCUUUCCUUCCUUCCUUGGAUGUUAGUUAAGAUCAGUGAGGUAAUGGUGAUAAAGUACUUUGAAUUACCUCAAGGAGAGUGCAGCCCAACUUGUUAUUAUUUACCUAGGUCAGUUCACAAACCCCCACGAUCUAGGGUUCCUGUCUCCUGCCCUGGGGAUGGUGCCUGGGAGAAAGGAGAUGUCACAGACCCAGUCCCACAGGGCGCUGUUGGCUGGAGUUGGUCAUUCCUUACUUUGACAUCAACAGGCUUAUCUCUAGAAAUAGGCUAAAUGGUAGCUCAGGCGCCGGUGUUGCCUCAUCCCGCAAACUCCCAGGGAGGCUGCCUACUUCCAGCCCCUGUUCUGGGAACUAAUGAUAGGUGGGAUGAAAAGACUGUUUCCUCUGAUGCGCUUUUAUGAGUUGUUUUCGAAGAUGAGGUGGCAAGGACAUGGUUAACCCGCUCCCUUGUGCAGGGAGACAUCAGAAUGACAGGGCACGGGGAAUCUCCCCAACCCGUUCCCAGGAGAGCUCUUGCCGAGGACGGCCCAGCUGUUAGCCAGAAAUCAAGGCAGCCUCAAGCCCUGUAACCCAGAUAUCAGUGGGCUUUUUCGGCUGACGGUGCUGUGGCCUGCGGCAGGCGGCAGUGUGGGUAGAGGACAGCUGUGGCUGAGGCCGGCAGCUCUUUCCACACGACUUCUUGGGUAAUGGCUCUUCUUAAGCCUGUGAUAUUUAGGGAUUGUCAAACUUCCCUUUCAUCCUGAGCCACCUUCCCUCAUGGGUAGCAGAGGAGUUGGAUUUCUUUCUUUUCUUUUCUUUUUUCUUUUUCUUUUUCGACAGAGUCUUGCUCUGUCGCCCAGGCUGGAGGGCAGUGGUAUGAUCUCUGCUCACUGCAACCUCCACCUCCCGGGUUCAAGUGAUUCUUCUGCCUCAGCCGCCCGAGUAGCUGGGAUUACAGGCACGCACCACCACGCCCAGCUAAUUUUUGUAUUUUUAGUAGAGAUGGGGUUUCACCAUGUUGGUCAGGCUGGUCUCGAACUCUUGACCUCAGGUGAUCCACCUGCCUUGGCCUCCCAAAGUGCUGGGAUUACAGGCGUGAGCCACCAAGCCCGGUCAAGGAGUUGGAUUUCUUAUGACAAGAGUAUUAUGGCUGUGUGUCCCAGAGGAGGCACUGUGUCCUCAUGAGGGUCCUUCACUGAAAGGAGAGCCUCGAGGACAAAGGAAUCUUCUAGAGACGACGUUGGGAGGGAGGAGUGGAGUUUGCAGGUGACUCUAGAGGACCCCAAAGUCCAGUGGGAGCUCAUUACCUCCUCGAUAGGAGGAGCCUGUUGUUGUAUGAGUGAGGAAAGGUGGCAGAACCGAGGCUGAGAGAGGCUGCGAAGAUGCAGCAGCAGUGCUGAGGCCUGAGAGGAGGACACGUUCUAUUACGCCAAUUAAUUCUACCCACCGAAAGGGCACAUCACAUUUUUGGGGUUGCCAAAAGCCGUUCUUAGCAGUAAAAAGUCUGUGAACUGCUGCACUGGGGAUUGGCAAAGGCUUGGUAGCCAGCGCAUUGAAGAGGGAGGGACAGCAAGCCUCACACCGGGAGUGGAUCCUUCCUGUGUUUCUGCCACCACAGUUUGCCAGUUUGAUGCCAAGGGACUCUUACUGUUUAUGUGUGCAUGUUUGUGCUGUUAGAUUAUCUUCUGAGCAAUUUCAAGUUUUAAGAAUAUGUUGGUGAAGUCAACAAUGAACAAUUCCAGGAGACUUGGUUCCACCCGGGCCCUGCUCAGGAAAGAUGAGGAGCCCCUCCCAACCCCACCCCUGCCUGUCCACAUGGCCCUUCCUCCCCAUCAUCCACCAUGGGGCCCUCCUGUGCCACAACAUGGCUCUCAUCCUUCUGUCUGGACACUUGCCCUGCCUCCUGGAGAGCCAGGCUCCUGCCCUGGCGGGCAUGUGAGUGUGCAUGUGUGUGAGUGUGCAUGUGUGAGUGUGCGUGUUUGCGAGUGUGCACGUGAGUGCACGUCUGAACGUGUGUGGGAGUGUAUACGUGAGUGCACGUCUCAACGUGUGUGCGAGUGUGCAUGUGUGUGCGAGUGUGUACGCGUGAGUGCACGUGUGCAUGUGUGUGCAAUUGUGCGUGUGUCUACGUGUGUGCAUGUGAGUGCAUGUGUGUGUGAUUGCGUGUGUGUAUAAUUGUGCACGUAUGUGAGUGUGCAUGUGUGUACAAUUGUGUGCGUGUGUGUGAGUGUGCAUGUGUGUGCAUGUGGCACGGAGGGGGAAGAAGAGAGUUCUCCUCUGUGGUGAUCGCCACCAUUCAGUUGAAGGGUUUAAGCUGAGCCAAGAUGAAGCAAGAGUGACACCAAGUGCCAAGAACAAGUGCUUGCUGUGGUAUCAGGUGUGCUCUCUCCUCAAAUCAGAGGAGCAGAGAGAAGCUCAGUUCCAGUCUGCAGUGUUCACCCCUGUGAGAGGGUGCCGACCCAUCCAGAGGUGGCCAGCCCCCUCCAGAGGUGGCUCAGUGCUGGCAUGCCACUCUGCCCAUUUGGACAAGGGGAUGGCCUCUCUGGGAAUUGGAUGCGGAACCGAAGCUUUGAAUAGAUUUAAAAAAUAAAAUCCAAGGUGGGAUGUUUUGUUGGCUAGAACAUGAUGCACAGACCCAGAUUGCCGUUCUGGCCCUAUUGCUGUCCUUCAGCCCCAUUCGGAGAAUGACCAGACCCCGAGGCCACAGUAGGACAAAGAAGAAGACUGACCCAGUUCUCUGUUUCCUGCUGCCAUGCCCGGGCCUCUGCUGCCAGAAGUCUUCCCCAUGAAGCCAUAGGUGGGGGACUAAAAGGCAUAUUCCUGUGGGGUGACCCCGAGAGAGACUGGGCAUGGUUUCCACCGAGGCACUGUUGGGGGCAGAGAAUUCUUUGGUUGCCGGAGAGGACCACCUGGUGCAGACCAGACCUGCAGCUGCGGCUUCAGGGUAGGAGCAUGGCCGCCUUGGUGUCGCCAUCUGGCCAGUCCUUGUUCCUACAGUUCCACUCCCAGCCGUGUCCUCAGCUUGUACCCACUUGUUUUUUUCCUUCAUGGAAGCUAAGGAGGGGACUGGGUUUGUUUGUCCAGAUGCCACCAGUUGGAUGACCGUUGCGGGUACAGGAGUGUCUUCACCACGCAGUGCCAGGCCAGGUCCCACCUCACAUCUCUAUUCCUCAUCUGGGAAUGCUGGCAUCAGCAGGUUGAUUCAAAACUAGGAGGUGUUGGGAAACCCCUUGGGCUGGAGAUUUCGAACUGAGAUUCAGAUGAGAAAAAACAUAGUGGGUGGGGUUCUGAGGCAGGAAGGAGACAGCAAAAGCUCCUGUCCUGACGCUCCGCUCGAUAGCGGGGAUCAACAGAGCGGCCUGGCAUGGUUGGGGGCAGCUGCGCUGGCUGAACCCAGGUGCAAGGCUGGCCCUGGACGGCCUCUCCCACCUCUGGACACAGAGCCGCCCCGUGCCUCUCCAUUCACCAGGCAAAACCACACCUGGAGUGGCGCGUUCAGUCUGGGGCAUGUUGGCACCAGCAGGUGUGGAUAAAUCCAAGGGCUCCUUCGGAGGGAGGGCAGGGGAGGAGGGCUGGCAGGAGUAUGGGGAGAAAAGCUGUUUGAAAAGAUUGUAAAAGGCUGUGGGAGAAUUCAGAGAGGGGGCGAGUGAUGAAGGGAGGACCACGCAGCUCAGGAGCCACAGCCUGGGUGGCCUGGGCGGCAAGGGCAGCCCCCAUUCUGCUGUUGAGUGGCUGUCUUGCCGUCUGCACUCCCUCGUCAUACAGUCCUCCCUGUGCGUUAGCUCAGGACAGCCUGGCAUCGGUGGCUCCUGGUGGCAGGUGCCUGUGACAUGAAGAGCACAGAGGAAGACGCUGGCUAGAUCCAGAGGCAGAGAGAGGAGGACAUGAGGAGAAGGUGAGGGAAACUGAGGAACAAGGAGAGGAAGAGCAAUUAAAAUGAUUCCUUGAAAGAAAAGGAGGUAAAACAGAAAACGUGGCGAGGGGUAUCCUAGAAGGAGCAGAAAAGGAAGGAAAAAAAGGGUGAACAUUGUCUUUCAUUUGAAGGACUUGGAGUGGCACAGUCAAGAACGAGUCUCCAAACACAGUCAGUACUCAGAAAGCUCAUCAUUGGAUUUGUAAAUCCAUUUCAUCUGGGUGGACUGAAGAACGUGGUACCCUCUGAGGAUGUCAGGGCCCAUAUUGUGGGAAAGUCAAGAGUGGCGCCGCAACAAACUAGCUAAUCAGUUAUGAACACGAGGGGCUCAUGAUUCAUGAGCCUGCCCAUCUAUCUCGUGCAGGGUGGAGACCCAUCUAACCGGAACCACCACCCAGCCUCUCCCAGCCUCCUUAGAUGACAAGCUCUGGCAUCCUCGGUCCACCCAACUCAGCCCCCAAGCAUUUCGCCAAAACAUCAGUAAGCAGAAACGGGAUCUCACAAUGUUGGUCUGAAACUCCUGAGCUCAUGUGAUCCUCCUGCCUCAGCCUCCCGAGUUGCUGGGAUUACAGGCAUGAGCCGCCGUGCCCAGCUAGUUUAUUUUUAUAUUCUGUAUUACUGUGGACCGGAAAAUCCAAGAGUUUGCCUGUACCCUAUGGGAAAAUUGUCUCUCAGCUGCAACGUGCCCAGCGUUCUCAGCAGUCAGGGCAAAUUCAACUACAGCAGCCACCGCCCAUCUUACCGAAGCUAAACCAGACAUGGAUGUUAUUAUCUGCUGCAUCCAGCAUUUGUUUAGAGCUUUCUGCUUCACAAAGCAACUCAUUAUCUUAAUCUUCACCAUCAUCCUACAUUGCUCUUACUUCCACUUUAUGAACAGUCAGUCUCAGAAAGCUAAGGCAUCUUCCUCAAAGCAGCUGUAGGAUUCAAACUGUGUGUCCGGGGACUCCAGAUUCUUUGUGCUUUCUACACAUUUAGAUUUCAUGGUAACAUCAAAAAUCAGGAUUCCUGGAUCUGGAGCAGUUUAUUCCCUCGGCCUUCCUCCCACCCAUUGC
rnacentral:lncRNA from 1 species